ACUUAAUCUCCAUGAUAGAAAGAAGAAGACAUCAGAUAACAAUGCCAAGAAGAGACAGAAAAUUGGCGACAAUACAAAGGGAUCUGCAAAAUGCAGCUGGAGGCAGUUCUUCAUUCAAAGAUUGGAUCCACAGCUGCAAAAGCAAGGGAGGAGAUGAGAGAGAUAAAGAAAAGCUGGAGGUUUGCAUGCGGCAUACUAAACACAACCACCUCGAGGUAAACAAAAAAGGUGUUUUUGUGGGCUUCUUAUACUUUUAAGCCCUCUGCUGACAGUAAGAUCAGAAGGUAAGAACAUCAGUCACAUAUACUAAACGAUACAGCAUAGAGCCUACACACUGGUGCACUCUAAGAGACAAUUUUACGCCUUGAAGAGAGACCGAACUGUUGCCUACUUGCUAUCAACACACAAUUGUCAUCACUCUGAACACAGCGCACAAAGAAAGUGUUGAGUAUUUUUUAAUUGCUGUUUAAUCCUUUGACUUCAAGUCAGUUUCAUUGUAAGGCCCUUUCUUCAGGGCUUCAAAUAAAAUCCCAAUUAUUUUUUGAGGUUUUUCUAACUUCGUUUACACAUUCAUGGGAUUUUGCAAUUGGAAUGAGAGCAGAUCACAGUACGCUUCUCAGACAAAGCUUUGUGCUCGUCACCAAACAAAACAGAGAACAAAAAAGGUCCGGAAAUAAUCAAGCCAGAAGUGGACCCCUCCUUGGUGCUGAACACACACUGGUCUAAAAGGACUUUGAAGAUCUUUCAUAAAUUUUGUUUUUGUCUGAAUAUGAAGAGAGCAGUCAUACCAGAUUAUUGAAGAAAGCACUGAGGCUGUCAAGCCAGGCAGUGUCUAGACAUAUCUCUCCACUCCAGCUAUGUCUUUAAUGUACAUUCACAGCCACAGUUUGAUUUAGAGGCAAGUCUUCAAUAACGCUCCUCAAAUGUGCUUUCUUUGCCCACCCCCAUGUCAAACAUUAAUUGUUUUUAUGCUUGUAAU